rnacentral:rRNA from 1 species
UCUCCUGGAAACGGGUGGUAAUGCCGGAUGCUCCGACUCCUCGCAUGGGGUGUCGGGAAAGAUUUCAUCGGUAUGGGAUGGGGUCGCGUCCUAUCAGGUAGUCGGCGGGGUAACGGCCCACCGAGCCUACGACGGGUAGCCGGCCUGAGAGGGCGACCGGCCACAUUGGGACUGAGAUACGGCCCAGACUCCUACGGGAGGCAGCAGUGGGGAAUAUUGCACAAUGGGCGCAAGCCUGAUGCAGCGACGCCGCGUGCGGGAUGACGGCCUUCGGGUUGUAAACCGCUUUUGAUCGGGAGCAAGCCUUCGGGUGAGUGUACCUUUCGAAUAAGCACCGGCUAACUACGUGCCAGCAGCCGCGGUAAUACGUAGGGUGCAAGCGUUAUCCGGAAUUAUUGGGCGUAAAGGGCUCGUAGGCGGUUCGUCGCGUCCGGUGUGAAAGUCCAUCGCUUAACGGUGGAUCUGCGCCGGGUACGGGCGGGCUGGAGUGCGGUAGGGGAGACUGGAAUUCCCGGUGUAACGGUGGAAUGUGUAGAUAUCGGGAAGAACACCAC